rnacentral:rRNA from 1 species
GAGUGAAACUCAAAGGAAUUGACGGGGACCCGCACAAGUACCGGAGCAGGUGGUUUAAUUACAACCAACGGGAAGAACCUUACCUAAGCCUGACAGCCCAAUGCAAUGUCCUUAAUCGGGCGGUUCCCGUCGGGGCCAUUGGUGACAGUGGGUGCAUGGUUGUCGCCAGCUCGUGUCGUGGGAUGUUGGGUUAAGUCCCGCAACGAGCGCAACCCUUAUCUGUAGUUGCCAGCAUUAAGUUGGGCACUCUAGAGAGACUGCCAGGGAUAACCUGGAGGAAGGUGGGGAUUACGUCAAAUCAUCAUGCCCCUUAUGCUUAGGGCUACACACGUGCUACAAUGGGUAGUACAGAGGGUUGC